UACAGAGGGGGCAAGCGUUGUUCGGAAUUACUGGGCGUAAAGGGCGCGUAGGCGGCCUGCUAAGUCGAACGUGAAAUCCCCUGGGCUCAACCCAGGAACUGCGUCCGAUACUGGUUGGCUUGAAUCCGGGAGAGGGAUGUGGAAUUCCAGGUGUAGCGGUGAAAUGCGUAGAUAUCUGGAGGAACACCGGUGGCGAAGGCGACAUCCUGGACCGGUAUUGACGCUGAGGCGCGAAAGCUAGGGGAGCAAACGGG
rnacentral:rRNA from 1 species